CGCCCUCCCUCCCUCCCUUUCCCCCUCCUUCCUUCCUCUCUGUAGGUGGAGGUACAGACUGUUCUAUCGCCCCCAAACUCUUUGUGACCCACGAAGCUCAUUAAGAGGAGCAGCUCGUCCGUCCGAAGAGGAAGUGAUGUCGACGUUUGACAUUUCACCUAUCACCCCUUAUUGACCUUUGGCCCCAAACAAAGAUGGCCUCGGUCCAGGGACCUGAGUCAACAGAAAGGUGUGGUGCGGCGGUUAGCUGCGUUGCCCGUGUCCGUCAGGUCUUUCUGAAUACUGUUGUGGACCUGGAGGAAGCUGUGGUCCCGUUCCAACGUGGUUGAGUUAUAGGCGGCUGUCGGCGUGC